AGAGUUUGAUUAUGGCUCAGGAUGAACGCUAGCUACAGGCUUAACACAUGCAAGUCGAGGGUAGCAGGGUAGCAAUACCGCUGACGACCGGCGCACGGGUGAGUAACACGUAUCCAACCUUCCCAUAACUCAGGGAUAGCCUUUCGAAAGAAAGAUUAAUACCUGAUAGUACUUUUUCAAGGCAUCUUGAGAAGUUAAAGAUUUAUUGGUUAUGGAUGGGGAUGCGUUCCAUUAGAUAGUUGGUGAGGUAACGGCUCACCAAGUCUUCGAUGGAUAGGGGUUCUGAGAGGAAGGUCCCCCACAUUGGUACUGAGACACGGACCAAACUCCUACGGGAGGCAGCAGUGAGGAAUAUUGGUCAAUGGGCGAGAGCCUGAACCAGCCAAGUAGCGUGAAGGAUGAAGGUCCUAUGGAUUGUAAACUUCUUUUAUAGUAGAAUAAAGUGAUCCACGUGUGGAUUUUUGUAUGUAUACUAUGAAUAAGGAUCGGCUAACUCCGUGCCAGCCGCAGC
rnacentral:rRNA from 1 species